ensembl:lincRNA Gm10532 predicted gene 10532
GCAGACACCUCUCGGCUAAACAGGGCACACACAUUUCAACAGACGAGGGCUUGAACUUGUACUACCCAAGCAGAUCUGGGCAAAAGAGCCCUCUCUAAGCUCAAGGAGUCUCCAAAGAUGGCCUUUGGGCCUGAUACGGUCACCGUGUCACCAUCCUCCACUGUCAUUUCUUCCCUGAUGUUGCCAGAUCUGGGCUCACCAGUCAACUGUUACCAUACACAGCAGGCAAGGGAGGAAGCGACUUGGGACAAGCUCAUCUGCCACCAGAACUUGCAGCCCUCUCUCUAGCAAUAACCCUCGUCGUCAGUCGGAGGGGCCGGGGAGUGGAGCGGCAGCUGUCGGUGUCCGGUUACCUGGAGCAUGUUGAGGAGCAGGCUCCGGAACUUGGUCCCCUCGACCAUGAAGAGGGCCAUCUUGUCGCAGAGCUUGGCGGCCGUGAAGGCGAAGCUGCGGUCUGACACGGCCUUCUGGUAGAUGGUCCGCACGAUCUCCCCUAGCAUCUCCUCAGAGUUGGUGGAGUUCUGCGCCUCCUCCAUGAAGGAGUCCCCUCUAGACCACCUCUUCAGAGAAAGUUAAGACUCCCUGAGCAGGACCGAUAGGACCCAACUCCAUUCCCCACGGCAUCUAGUGAUUUCCCGGCGUCUCCAACACCGCUUGUGGGGCAGAAGAGGAGGAACAGUAUGUGUUGGAAGGGUUUCAAGUACAGCUGGCUACCCAUGGUGAUGACAACCUGGUGUGGUGUGUCCACCCAGCCUCUCUUCCCUUUAGAGAGGAGCUCCUGUCUCGACCCAUGAGGCUCUACCCAAAGCCCACCCCCCAAGUGCCGACCUCUCAGCUGUCCUCAGCAAGAGAACAAAGAAAAGUCAAUUACCCGGUCCUUUUCCUUCAGCCUUCGCCUCAGCCUGUCUUUGGAAGACUGGAGCAGGGUGAUUUUGGGCCGCUCUCUGAGACGUUCAGGAAGAACAGUGUCUUUAUGCUUUAUCUCAGCCUCCGGCCCCCCUGGCAGCUGAGGGGUUGGUCUCUCGGAAGCUGCUGGGGUCAGAGUGUCAGGGCUGCAGGGGGCCUCAAGGCCACUGUGUCCGGUGUCCCCUGGGCCGUCUUCAAGUUUGGGGUUCUCAACGGUCACGGUCUCUUUGGUGUUGCGGUGGCUGCCCGCUUCUCCCUUGUCUCCCGGUGGAUGUUUCAUGUUGCUGUGAUGCCAGCGUCGGUUCUGGCUGUAGCCAUGGUGUGUGGGCCUCCCUGAGGGGUGGGGCCCUGAGCCCCCCUGGUAAGAUUUCUGGUGGUCCCUGUUGUGUUUGGCACUGCCUGGCUGAUGGUCACCAUGCUGUUGGGGCUUGUUCCCUCCUGGAGGUCUUUGCUGCCGUCUACGAAAGAGAAUGGAGAGGUGGAAAAGAGGGGUUACAUAGUGAACUGGUAGGGUCCCUUCAUCCAAACGUUGGAGCACAAUAUCAGAGUCUGGAUCAUUUCAACAGUUAUCCCGACCCUCCCAUGAGCCAUCAGAGAGAAUGGAAGUUGAACUUUCUCUAAAAAGCAGCGAUUCAUCUGUGGCACACGGUGUGCCCGUGUAUGUAAUACGGAACAGACAUCUAAAAGGACCAGCAGCAGAUGAGACGAGCCCCCCAGCCUCUGCCCAACUCCUCCAGCUAUGUCCCUUGAAAGCAACAUUAUCUGAUAACAUUCAUGUUUUGAAGCCCUCACUCCAUUCUUCAGAAUGUAUCUCUCCGGAGCCAACUGGGAUUUUAAAGAUAUGAUGUUGCCAGGGUGUGCCCCUGAAUCCAAGCCUACUUGGGUCCUUAUAACGAGAAGCAGUCUGUACAUACACAAAUAUGCCACCCAUGCAAAGGCAUCCGUGGUCAUCUGCAAACUGAGAAGUGAGGUCUCAGGAGAGCCCCACUGUGCUGACACCUCUGCACGUUUGGGCAGCUCUGGGAUAGUGCUUUGUAAGCAGAGAAGAGCCAGUGGCAGAGCUGAGCUCUGUGCCAGGAACCAAGAUGGGAAGGUCUCGCUGCAUGGUUGGAAGGCAGGGGCAGGCGCAUGGAUAUGAGGCAUUGUCUUACCACUCACAGCACUAUGGCCAGUUUCGGUCCCUCCCAGGCUGCCUUCUGAACCCUGGGGUCACUGGAGGUGCAGUUGAGAAUAGCUACGUGCCCCUUAAUAUAGAUACAGUGGUGCAGAAACCAAGAGAAAGCCAUUACAGUUUCAAGAAUGAACCCAUACCUUGAGAUCUACCUCCGCUCUCACAACCUUAAGUGCAAUUAUCCUUAAUAAACAAAUUGGAUUUAUAUC